rnacentral:rRNA from 1 species
UACGGGGGGGUAAGCGUUGUUCGGAAUUACUGGCGUAAAGGGCCAGUAGGCGGCCAACUAAGUCGACGUGAAUCCCAGGCUUAACCUGGAACUGCGUCGGAUACUGGAUGGCUUGAAUUCGGGAGAGGGAUGCAGAAUUCCAGGGUGUGAGCGGUGAAAUGCGUAGAUAUCUGGAGGAAUACCGGUGGCGAAGGCGGCAUCCUGGACCGACGAUGACGCUGACGGCGAAAGCUAGGGAGCAACGGG